rnacentral:pre_miRNA from 1 species
UGAUUGGCUCUGAUUGGAAGAAUAGUGGGUGGACCUCAAUACUAGCUGUCCUAAGGUCUACCCACUAUCCUUCAAUCAGAGCCAAUCA